AUGAUCUCCCGCUUGCGGGGGUGAUUAGUGGCGAACGGGUGAGUAAUACGUGAGUAACCUGCCCUUGACUCUGGGAUAAGCCUGGGAAACCGGGUCUAAUACUGGAUACUACUCCUCAUCGCAUGGUGGGGGGUGGAAAGGGUUCUACUGGUUUUGGAUGGGCUCACGGCCUAUCAGCUUGUUGGUGGGGUAAUGGCUCACCAAGGCGACGACGGGUAGCCGGCCUGAGAGGGUGACCGGCCACACUGGGACUGAGACACGGCCCAGACUCCUACGGGAGGCAGCAGUGGGGAAUAUUGCACAAUGGGCGGAAGCCUGAUGCAGCGACGCCGCGUGAGGGAUGACGGCCUUCGGGUUGUAAACCUCUUUCAGCAGGGAAGAAGCCACAAGUGACGGUACCUGCAGAAGAAGCGCCGGCUAACUACGUGCCAGCAGCCGCGGUAAUACGUAGGGCGCAAGCGUUGUCCGGAAUUAUUGGGCGUAAAGAGCUCGUAGGCGGUUUGUCGCGUCUGCUGUGAAAGCCCGGGGCUCAACCCCGGGUCUGCAGUGGGUACGGGCAGACUAGAGUGCAGUAGGGGAGACUGGAAUUCCUGGUGUAGCGGUGAAAUGCGCAGAUAUCAGGAGGAACACCGAUGGCGAAGGCAGGUCUCUGGGCUGUUACUGACGCUGAGGAGCGAAAGCAUGGGGAGCGAACAGGAUUAGAUACCCUGGUAGUCCAUGCCGUAAACGUUGGGCACUAGGUGUGGGGGACAUUCCACGUUCUCCGCGCCGUAGCUAAC
rnacentral:rRNA from 1 species